ACUCAAAUGAAUAGACGGGGGCCCGCACAAGCAGCGGAGCAUGUGGUUUAAUUCGAAGCAACGCGAAGAACCUUACCAGGUCUUGACAUCGAUGGAACCUGUAGAGAUACGGGGUGCCCUUCGGGGCCCUGAAGACAGGUGGUGCAUGGUUGUCGUCAGCUCGUGUCGUGAGAUGUUGGGUUAAGUCCCGCAACGAGCGCAACCCUUGUUGUCAGUUACUAACGCGUAAAGGCGAGGACUCUGACGAGACUGCCGGGGACAACUCGGAGGAAGGUGGGGACGACGUCAAAUCAUCAUGCCCCUUAUGACCUGGGCUACACACGUGCUACAAUGGCCACUACAAAGAGGAGCGAGGUCGCAAGACGGAGCGGAUCUGAGAAAAGUGGUCUCAGUUCAGAUCGUGGGCUGCAACCCGCCCACGUGAAGUCGGAGUUGCUAGUAAUCGCGAAUCAGCAUGUCGCGGUGAAUACGUUCCCGGGCCUUGUACACACCGCCCGU
rnacentral:rRNA from 1 species